rnacentral:tRNA from 1 species
GGAUGUAGUUCAGUAGUAGAGUGCUUGCCUGGAAUACAUGAGGCCCUGGGUUCAAACCUCAGCACCA